ACCACGCUUCCACGCGACUAAGUCACGACAAAGAUGUUCUUUUUCGAUCGCAGGACGUCUAUUUAGGGCAGAUUUAUGGUGGCGGGGGGACCACCCAGUCCACAUUGUCUCGAUUAACAAUAGCAGCAGUCGACCGGAGCCUUGCUUGCGGGGCAAACUGAGCGUGACGACCAUCUCCAGCAGAAGCGGCGCGAAGAGCAGCGUGAGCAGCCAGAAGAUGUGGUCGCCCUUCACCCAGGUCACCCGCCACACGCCCGCCAGCGACACCAAGAGAAAGAGCGCCCUGGUCGCGAUGGCGCACGUCAACUUCAACACGCUCAGCAUCAUCUUUUGCCUCCCGCCUCCUCCAGCCGGUACACUCCGCACUCCCGACGUAUCAACUCGACAUAUGCGCGAUGAAAUUUGCGGCACUCGCACCAACAUCAACAC